rnacentral:rRNA from 1 species
AGCUCCAAUAGCGUAUAUUAAUGUUGUUGCAGUUAAAAAGCUCGUAGUUGGAUUUCUGAUGGGGUCGACCGGCCAUAGCCGCAAGGCAUGUGCUGUGUGUUGUACCUUGUCAUCCUUGGAGUAAACGUGUUGGGCAUUCAUUUGUCUGGCUCGGGAGCUCCAUCUUUUACUGUGAAAAAAUUAGAGUGUUUAAAGCAGGCAAUCGCCUUGAAUACAUUAGCAUGGAAUAAUAAGAUAGGACUUUGGUCUAUUUUGUUGGUUUAUUACCGAAGUAAUGAUUAACAGGGACAGUUGGGGGUAUUCGUAUUUAAUUGUCAGAGGUGAAAUUCUUGGAUUUAUGAAAGACGAACUACUGCGAAAGCAUUUACCAAGGAUGUUUUCAUUAAUCAAGAACGAAAGU